UCAAACUUGGUCAUUUAGAGGAAGUAAAAGUCGUAACAAGGUUUCCGUAGGUGAACCUGCGGAAGGAUCAUUAACAAAUCCUGUUGUUGUAUGUUUGUUCAUGUGGAUGUCAUUUCAUUUCAUGUGUUCGAAUGUACACAAACACACGUUCCAUGUGCACGUUCAUUCUUGCACAUGACAUUUCUGCAAAUCGUCUGAUCAUUCAUUCAUCCAAAUCAUAAGAAUAACUUUUAACAAUGGAUCUCUAGGCUCUUGCAUCGAUGAAGAACGCAGC
rnacentral:misc_RNA from 1 species